UGCGUAGGUGGUUUCUUAAGUCAGAGGUGAAAGGCUACGGCUCAACCGUAGUAAGCCUUUGAAACUGGGAAACUUGAGUGCAGGAGAGGAGAGUGGAAUUCCACGUGUAGCAGUGAAAUGCGUAGAGAUGUGGAGGAAUACCGAUGGCGAAGGCAGCCCCCUGGGAUAACACUGACGCUCAUGCUCGAAAGCGUGGGUAGCAAACA
rnacentral:rRNA from 1 species